CAAAUAAAGUUGAACCGCGUACACAGAGAAAAAUAUGGCUAAUAAAAAUAAAAAGAUUGUCUCUAUGAUCAGUUGCAGGGACCAAGAAGAGGACAGAAGUCAAAGACGAAGAUAUUUUCAUAGAGAUUUCUUCUUAUUUAUAUGUGGGAAAUCUUCUUAUUUUUAUUUAAAAGUUUAUCUGCUUAAAAUAAUGAGAAAACUUCUUGUUCGAUAAAUUCUGUCUAAAUGUAGGAGAAGGCGGUGAGAAGAGAAGGGAAGCGUACCAUUGCAAGUUCCAUUGAUUUCUUUUGACAUCUUUUUUUUCCAUACUCUUGAAUUCAAAAAGUAACUGAAGUGUAUGAAAGAAAAUAGAAAACAAAAACGAAAUGUAAAUCACUAUAAGCAACAAUAACAUAAUGAUAUGUGUUGAGCACGCAACCAUAACAUACAUUAUACGCGUCGAAGUGCACGGAAUGUAGCCUUGCGUAUAUUAGUUAAAAAAAAGAGCAAAUGCACAAACAAAAACAAACUAUUCACAAGCAUAAGCAUUUCAAUGUCGCCAAUCAUAACUGUAUUUCUAUCGGCUCGUGUUUUUGCAUACUUAAGAUGAUGCAAUAAUUAUUGGGCAUCAGUCAGUAUUAACGUGAGUGUGGCCCGACGCAUGUCUUAUAAAAAUUGUGACAAGUUUGUAAAAUGGAUAUAUUCAGUUCGGAUUAGAUGCAAUUGAAACGCUGCCCAUUUUUAAAUCAUGGGAGUUAAAUGAUGAUAUUUGCUCCAUUCUUGUGGACUACAGAGUGACAUCAACGAUAAUUUUAACAAAAAUGGAUUGGGAAGAUAUCGACUGUUUAUUUGAAAAGCUUCCAACAAAAUUUUUUGGCGAAUGCAUCAAGUUUAAAGCGGGAUUAAGAGAAUGGAGGAAGAACAUGAAUAUACCGCUUGUACGUGAUGCAAGCACCUUAUCUGAGAGUAGUCGAAUUUUGGAGUGGUUACAGGAAAUUUCUGACGACUUAAAUGCAGCUAAAAGUUCAAGAGAUUCUUCACCAGUACUCCAGCCAACGUAUGAUAACUGCAUGGACAGUCGCAGCUUAACCGACCUUUUAAAAGGUACGGUUAAAGGGCAGCUUGUGCUUCACUUUCAGCAGAAAAAUGGUUUCUUGGGCGCCAAGCAGCAGAAUACAUUGUGUCACUGCGUAAUAGAGAAUUAUAUAGGAAGGCGGAAAAAACUGACAUAUGGAGAAAUGCAAAAGUGGGCCAACAUCAUCUGCGAUGUAUUCCCCAAAGAGAAUCCGGAAACAUAUUUUCUAGCAAGAAAAUAUGGUAAGAAAAAUCCUACGGGAUAGCUAUUUUCACGCUGGACGAAUGCUGACAAAACCAAUUAUAAAAAGUUUUCAACCGAUCGUACAACUACCGCUCCGCCAGCAGCUUUAUCCAGCGAUAAGUAUUACGAAAAGAAGUGCUGGCUGCAGAAUAAUUGCACACCAUGGGAAUAGGUUAUCUGGUCAAAGAAUUAUAGAUAUCCAUAACGCCAGUUCUUUAGGCUGCAUUUUUAGUGAAUGGCCGCGCUAUAAGGACUUUCGUGGAUAUGAACUUGUAGAAAUAGACUUUGAGACUCUUUACCCCGGGAAAGGAAAUAUGUUAUUUUUGAAAUUGGAGAAGUUUUAUAAAGAAAUCCUCAAAAUUUUUGAUAGAGAUAUAAAAGACCGUGUUUCAAGGGAACUAUUCUUAAAGUAUUUGCACAUUGACAACAUCUCAAAUGAAUGUAAAUAUUGUAUAAGUACAAUUCUUCUACAUGCUUUGCUACAGCCUUUGAGGCUUAAUAAGGACAAAAAACCAACAAUAGCUGAUGCCCAAACAGAUUUUGUAACACUCGUUGCAACACGUAAUGAUAUUCAACCCACAAUAAUUGAAUUGAAGAACCAGUUUGCGGUAAGAAAGGAGAAACUACAGCCGAGAAUUAUCGUCGUUGGAUCAGAUUGGUCAUCCAUUUCAGAGUUUUAUGUUUUUUGCGAUGGUCUGCAAUGGAAAUGUACUACGUAUAUGAAGUGCGUUGACUGCAUUAUUAAACUAUCGUACGUUUAUACAUAAGAUAGAGUAUUCACAAAGAAGCAAGCAAGUAUGGGCAUUUUUAGAACAAUAUUUUUUUGAGUUGAAAUCCGAAGAAUUUUCUUCAGUGGCAAAUCUUUUGAGUAAAUUAAACUAAUUUCGUCUAAUUUUGCUAUAAUUUCCAAUUUUGCUUGUUUCAUUUGUCAAAAAGCUCACUUAAAUCCUAUAGAGCUGAUUAAACAUCUAAAGUCAGCACAUGGUACUCCACCAGUUUGUAAAUUUCAAUGUAACGAAUAUAAUUGCAAACAAAUUUUUUAUAACAUUCACAGAUUUCAAAUUCACCUCAAAAAACAUUUGAAAAUAGAAAUUCGCAAUAGCCAAUCUUGUAAAGAAAAUUCUCUUGCUCUUAAUA